rnacentral:tRNA from 1 species
GCCUGGGUGGCUCAGUCGGUUGAGCGUCCGACUUCAGCUCGGGUCAUGAUCUCACAGUUCGUGAGUUCGAGCCCCGCGUCGGGCU